UACGAAGGGUGCAAGCGUUGUUCGGAAUUACUGGGCGUAAAGGGUUCGUAGGCGGUAUUGUAAGUCUAAUGUAAAAUGGAAGCGCUUAACGUUUUUUUAGCAUUAGAAACUACAAUUCUUGAGAUGUGGAGAGGGUGACGGAAUUGCUGGUGUAGGAGUGACAUCCGUAGAGAUCAGCAGGAACGCCAGAGGCGAAAGCGGUUUCCUGGCCACAGACUGACGCUGAGGAACGAAAGCGUGGGGAGCAAACAGG
rnacentral:rRNA from 1 species